UUUUGUAAGCUGAUCCCCCAGGUUUCCAUGAAUCCAAAUUCUCCAUCAUUUCUCACUGUUCUCAUAUUUUUACUCUUGUGUUUUCAAACAUCGGAAAGCCAAAACUUCUUGCGUAGGGGCUCUUCUCUAUCUGCUGAAGAUAAUACAGGCGUGUUGAGUUCCCCAGACAAAACAUUCAGUUGUGGCUUUUAUGGCCUCGGUGGAAAUGCUUAUUUGUUCUCAAUCUGGUUCACGCACUCUAGAGACAGAACUGUUGUUUGGACAGCUAACCGUGACAGACCAGUCAACGGCCAGGGCUCCAGAGCUUCUCUGCGGAGAAAUGGCGCCAUGGUCUUAACUGAUGUUGAUGACACAGUCAUUUGGAUGACUAACACAACCUCUACUAGUGCUGAUAGAGCAGAGCUUCUGGAUACUGGAAAUCUUGUUCUCAAGGACAGACAUGGUAAAAUCCUAUGGCAAAGCUUUGAUUAUCCUACUGAUACACUCCUUCCUAAUCAAGUAUUUAGAAAGAGCACUAAGCUGAUUUCUGGAGUAGGAAACGGAACUUAUGCGUCAGGGUAUUUUAGUUUAUAUUUUGAUAAUGAUAAUGUAUUGAGGUUGAUGUAUGAUGGGCCUGAAAUUUCAAGUGUGUACUGGCCAGAUCCCGAUUUUGAUGUGUUCCAAAAUGGAAGAACAAAGUAUAACAGUAGCAGAAUAGCUGUUUUAGAUGAUUUUGGCAGUUUCUCAUCAAGUGAUGAGUUGAAAUUCAGUGCUAUAGACAUGGGUUUCGGGAUAAAAAGGAGGUUGACAAUGGAUUAUGAUGGAAACCUCAGGCUUUACAGUCUUAACAAGGUGACGGGAUCAUGGAUGAUUUCUUGGCAAGCUCUUAUGCAGCCAGGUAAAGUGCAUGGUGUCUGUGGUAAAAAUGGGAUUUGUGUUUAUACACCCGAGCCAAAGUGCUCAUGCCCACCUGGGUAUGAGGCAACUGAGCCAGGGGAUUGGAGCAAAGGUUGCAAGCCUAAGUUUAAUAGAACUUGUUCAUCAAGCUUGACGGAAGUCAAAUUCGUUGGGGUUCCAAAUACAGAUUUCUAUGGUUUUGACCUCAACUACAGUAAGACUAUAUCAAAAGAGGCUUGUAUGAAAUUGUGCCUGGGUGACUGUCGGUGUUCAGGAUUUAGCUACAGGCUAACAGGUCAAGGGCUCUGCUUCACAAAAAGUGUGCUUUUUAAUGGCUUCAAGGCUCCAAAUUUUCCAGGCAUCAUAUAUCUAAAAUUGCCAGUGAGUGUGGAGGCAUCAGAACCUGCUAUUCUAAACGGCACUAAUCCUGUAUGCCGGUUAAGUAAAUCUCAAAUUGUGAUUGGAUCUCCAUCUAUGUAUGACACCACUGCUAAGAGAGUGAGAUGGAGCUAUUUUUACUGGUUUGCACUGGCAAUUGGCGCAAUUGAAGUUUUCGUCAUUGCGUCAGGUUGGUGGCUGCUCUUUAGAAGACAAGAUGUACCGUCUUCACUGGAAGAAGGAUAUCAAGCAUUAUCAAGUCAGUUCAGGAGAUUUAGUUAUGCUGAACUCAAGAAAUCAACAAAAAGUUUCAAGGAAGAGCUUGGCAGAGGAGGCUCCGGGGCUGUGUAUAAGGGUGUUUUGGCCGAUGGAAGGGCAGUGGCUGUGAAGAGACUAGGAGAUUUACAUCAAGGAGAAGAAGUGUUUUGGGCAGAAGUGAGUACAAUUGGAAAAAUCUAUCACAUGAACCUGGUAAGAAUGUGGGGAUUCUGUUCAGAAGGCAGACACAGACUCUUAAUUUAUGAGUAUGUUGAAAAGCAAUCAUUGGACAAGCAUCUCUUCUCUUCAUAUUUUCUUGGGUGGAAAGAGAGGUUUAAAGUUGCCUUGGGGACAGCUAAGGGUCUAGCUUAUCUUCACCAUGAGUGUCUGGAAUGGGUUAUCCACUGUGACGUGAAGCCUGAAAAUAUACUUCUGGAUAGUGAAUUUGAGCCUAAGAUUGCUGACUUUGGUCUAGCCAAGUUGUCUCAGAGGGGCAGCAAUAGUUCUCAAUUCUCUCAGAUUCGAGGAACAAAAGGUUACAUGGCUCCAGAGUGGGCUUCAAAUCUUCCCAUCACUGCCAAAGUUGAUGUGUAUAGUUAUGGAGUUGUGAUUCUUGAGAUGGUGAAAGGAAUUCGGCUUUCAAACUGGGUGGUAGAGGAUGGUGAAGGGCAGGAAGCAGAGUUGAAAAGAUUUGUCAGGGAAGUGAAAAGGAAAAUUCUAUAUGAAGAGGAAGCAUGGAUAGAGGAAAUAGUGGAUCCAAGAUUGAAAGGAAAAUUUAACACGAACCAGGCUGCAACUUUGAUUGGAAUUGGGAUAUCCUGUGUGGAUGAAGAUCGAAGCAAAAGACCAACAAUGGAUUCAGUAGUCCAGUCCCUGUUAGAAUGUGAAACUGAGUCUGAAAUCCACAUUACAGACGAUCACUGAUAAGUACUCUUUUCUUUUCUAGCUACAGCAUAUUUUUGUGCUUUGAUGACUUGGACACAGUUUUAUUUUGUAAAAUCAACUGAUGGCUUUUUCAAAUGUAAUAUUUCAAUUAAUAAGAUUCGCUUAGUAUUUGCCUUCGCUAAUAUUCCAUGAUGAAACAAUUUUUGUUGGAUUGGAUGAUGAAAUAUCAUCAACAGAAAAGAAACAUGUAGUUAAUUGCCAAGUCCUCUCCAGUAGGUAGCUUUUACUGCUUAUGCACAAUAGAUAUGUCAUAAAGCGCAGGAACUGCUGUCCCAAGAAAUUUAAAAUUGAAAAAGAAAAGAAACUAAAACUGGAAAUUCGUUAGCAUUGCAGUCAAAGGAAUAUAUAUCUGAUACGAACUGGGCUUAGAUGUCAUAGUUGCAGAAAUCUGUAGCACAGACCUGAACUAAUAGCCCGUUUGGGAGUGUGGUGAGGUAGUUGGGCUGUCAAAGCCCAAUUACUAAAUUGUUUGGUAACACUUGUAGCUGAGCUUUGGUAGCUUAGCAAAUUUUUUUUUUCAACUUCUAUUCUACAGCUGUAGCUUUUAUUCCACAGCAGCUGCAGCUUAAAAGCUACAGCACCUCACUCCCAAACACAUCCUAACAAAUGUCGAAGCAAAGCAAAAUCGAUCUCUUUAUAAUUUUGCUUUCUUGUAGCUUGGUUUUCAUUGGCAAGGAACGCCAUUUCUCAGUGAAGGUGCAAGAUUUCGAUAUUCAGGUAGAGAUAAAUUAACCAUAAAAAAACACCUCAAAAGGUACGGUUGCCUCUCCCACAAAGAAAUUGAAAAAUAAGGAGAAAUUUUCAUGCUGCUGACUAUAUAUUCUGCGGAGAGUGACAUGUAUAUGCAAAAGCAUUGCAUUACUGAUAGAAAGAGAGAGAGAGAGAUCAUAGAAAAAAUCAACUGUUAAAGAUCCAAACAGUGUUUCAUAAAUGAGUUGGUUAAUAGUGAUUAAUCCAUUUAAAAUCCGAGUUAUAAAGUCAAAUCAUAGAUAAAUAAAGCCUCCAAAUCUGACUAGAAACACGGUGAUCACUUGUACUUUUGAUAAAAAGGAGGUGGCUUCGGCUAUGCCGCCUUUACAUUCUGAAUGGAAUUCUGACGAGGUAAAAUGGAAAGAAAAGGAACCUCAAACCCAUAUGCUGUGGAGCUUUAUAUCUUUAAGAAGUUUUUUCACUUGAGUUCAGAAUUGAAACGUCUUAUCUUCUUGCAACAUAGAGUGGAAAUAGCACAACUUACUAAAAUUCGAUCAAUGUUCUUGCUGUCAAUCUAUAGUAUAGUCAUAAGUACGACUCUCAUCUCUAGGUGGAAUCUUAACUUUUGAAGGAUUUAUUCCUUUCUCAGACUCAACCAGAUGAAUUUUGAGGUACAGUGGGCAACCUGAUCUGUCUUUACGAUUGGUUCAAAACAUGAAAGGAAGCAACGCGUUGAAAUUUGAAAAUGCAACGAGUUCAUUAACAUCUUUUCACUUUCAUGUGGAAUAUGAUGAAAUUUGGCUCAGUGCAAAAACUACUAAGAGAAUUUAUUCCUUGUCUGUUUGUUUGAUUGAUGUCCAAAUUUUCAAAUACUUACACAAGAGCAGCAAUGGCUGGUCUUAUUUUCGACAUUUGUAGUACUCUUUCAGAACCAUUUAAAUGGCCUCUGUUUGACAGACCCUGGCAAUUUGUAUCUAAAGGGCAGACUAUUCCAGUAGGGAGCUCGCAGAGGGAGUGGGAUCUUAUCAUUAUCUUGGUGUCUCUAUUAAAUCCCGAGGAAAAAAGUUCAUCUUGCAAGCAUAGCUAACUAGACUUCAACGAUCAACAUAAUGCAAAACAUUGAUGUUGAUCGUUAUUAUUGGGUGAAUAAACUUGUAAGUGGUCAUGAUCUAGUGUUGAAUUCACUCGGAAUAAAUGAUGGUUGCUGCUUGUAUGCGUGCCAUACUUGCUGGUCUAGAUUCUCAUAGUCUUCUGUUAAGCAUUAUGGAUCAUAAUUUCAGUGACGUCCGGUGGAGAGCUCAGUUUCGAAAUUUUGAUAUCGAUUCUUUUCCCUGAAUAGAUUGAGGCAGGCAAGCAUGUAGAAUAUCAAGUGUGACACCCGUAUUUUGUAUUAUUAUUAUUAUUAUUAUGGAACAUAAUAUUUUAGGUCAAUGAUGAGUGUUUUAAAUUUUAAAAUCACUAAAUUAUUUUUUUAAAUAUAUUAAAUACCUUAUUAAAAAAGGAAAUAAAAUCCCUAAUGGGUAGGGAUAUUAAAAGGCUUGGCUUAUAAAAACCAUUCUUACCUUAUUUUUGUUUCUUAAAACCCUAAAGACUAAUCAAGAAAAGAAUAUAGCAAUGAAAACAAGAGUAAAUUCAUGUUUUUGAAUAAGAAGAGAGGAAGAUUUUGAUUGUGUUCCUAUUUACCAUUAAAUUAGUUCUUUAUUUUUGAUUAUUUUGAAGGUAGGUAAAAAUUUAUAAUCCUUUGAACUUCUGGUUUUUUUUUUUUUUUUGAGAAGAUUGAACUUCUGGUUUUAAUUGUGAUUUUAUGUGAUUGAUUGAAUGAUUUUUUUUUUUUUUGUGUUGUAUUGAUAAAAAUGUGAAAACAUCAUCAUGUAUUGAUAUAUGUUGUUACUGAGUGAAAAUAGCGCUAUUAUGUUAUCCUGAAAAACUGUGAACAGUGUAUAUUUAAUCGUGUAUGACUACUAUUUUCUUUGAGUUUCAUACAUUUAGUUUAUCAAACUAGACACCUUGACCUUUCUAUCCAUAUGUUAUUGUUAAAAAACUCAUUGUAUAUUAAUUGUUUUGAUUUUUCGAAAUUAGAACACUUGCGCUGGAAAAUUCUGAUUUUUAGCAGCAAUUCUCACUUCUACAUUUUAUUUCAUAACCCAAACAACUUCUGAAAAUUUUGGGAAUUUUUAUGACUGUACAUAUAUAUGUCUAGUUUCUGUGUUUUUAAUUUCGUAAUUUUUAUCUUAAUAUAAAAAUCACUAAAAAUCAUAGAGCUGGCUGCUGCAAUCCUGGAAACUGUUUUCCAGAAUUGCUACGGCUGGUAUUAAAGCGAGUUUAGGUUACUUUUUCACUAUUAAAUGCCUUAUAAAUUUUAAUUCUAAUUCCUUAUAGUCUCCUCUGAUGGUCAAAACUUGAAUCACUAUUUUUCAACAUGUAUAACUAAAGUUAUGAAUUUUUUUGUCAAAACUUGAAUCACUAUUUUUCAACGUGUAUAACUAAAAUUAUAAAUUUUUGAACCAGCAAUCCUCUGUUUAUAUCGUCAUUGGAUAGUUUUGAUGUUUUUAUGAAAAAUCAGUUUUUGGAAAUGUUUAUGAACUCUAAUUAAUCUUGUUAAGUUUCUUAUUGAAUGCCAACAUGUUUACAGUAUUUUUUGUAAUAUUUAUAAUUUUUUCGACAUAGUUAUAGCUUGUUAGAAAUCAGCUCCUUUAUGAUGAUUUAGUAUAGUUUAACGAAUUGAUGUGCUUAAGUAAGAGUACAUGGUUUAAGAAUUUUCGGGUUUUCCUAUCAAGAUCAGAUUUGAAUAAAAUAUUGAUAAGAAAAUUGUCUUAAUAAUUUUAGGCCAAGAGUGAGCUCAUGUGAUUGGGGUUGCCAUUGAUUGUUUUGGAUCGAGGUAAGUAAAUUCAUGCAUAAUGUUAUUAUAAGUAUAUAUAUAAAUAUUUAUGAAUAAAAUAAUGUUGUCCAAAUGUAUUGGCACUUCAUGGUUUUAAAGUUAUUUAAAACAUUUUCUUAAAUGUGUUUUAAAAAUAAAUUUAAAAUACUUGUUUUCAAUAAAUGGUUUUCCUUAAAAAAAAAAUUGCAAAACUUGGUCAAUUCAAUGUUUUAUAAGAGCGUUUUAUUGAAAUGUUACUGAAAGAUUAAAAUUGAAAGACUGAAAACUAUAUUUAAGGUUUUGACUCAUAAUCUGUAGUUACUGUUACUGAUAUAACCGAACAGUAGUUGUAUUGUGCACACCUACUAAUGAUUAUUGCAGGGUAAAAUACCCUGAAUGAACUACUGGCCGAGUCACCGGGAAUACAUGUGACAUAUUAAACUAUUGGUCAGGUCGCCGGGAAUACAUGUGACAUACUGAACUAUUGGUAGGGUCGACGGGAAUACUAAUGACACUAUGUGGCAAGAGUGAAUUGCAAGGAUUUGUCCGUGGCAUACCCCAAAAAAAGGGUAUUUAUCUAAAAACACCCCCAUACUGUAAAAUUCCUCAUAUAUGCCUUUUCUAAUGUGCAAUUACGAAAUUGCCCUAAUUAAAAACCUAAAAUCAUCUAAAUUACCCUGCAUAAUCAGUCACAAAACACAAUCCCUAAUUCUCGCUCAUGACCAACGUACACAACACCCAUUUUUGCCAAAUUUAAACCUUCCUCAAGAUUGAAUCCAAUUCAAGCAAGCAAAAAAGAGUGAAGAGUUGUUUGCCAGGCUCGAUUGCAGUCCCUUUGAAGCGCCAUUAGAUGAGGUUAACGCCAAUGAUGCUUUGCUGUUGUUACUUCAUGCCUCUGUUGCCCUUUGUUCUAGCCCAUAAAUUUGUUGCCUUGAAUUGAAAUUGGGCAAAUGAAAGGUGAUUUACCACUCAAAACUUGACUGUUACACCUUGUUGAGUAUGAUUUUAUCGAAUAUAUGCUUUGCUAAUUUGUGUGAUUUGUUAGUAACAUUAGAAUCUAUCUUGAAUGACUUGAAAAUUUGGUACAAAAGCUCAAGUAUUGGAGUUGUGCUUAUGUGGAGAUAUGGGUUACAAUUUUAAUGAAAAAAAAACCUGCAUUACAUAUAUCUCAUUUCUUAUUUUCAACGACUGAAAGAUGUUAAUUAGGAAACUUGUACGAGAUAAUUUAAUUUUGGACUAUUGACAUUAUAUUUACUUAGAAAUGGAAAUAGUGGGUGGAUAAAUUUAGUUUUUCAUUAAUAAUUGCUCAAGAAGCAAGGGGAUUAGUGAUGGAUGGAGAGUUUGUGUAGAAUUGUGAGGCCAUUUGAUUACUGCAAGUAUUAUAAAUUUCUUGUCUUUAUGAUUUUCUUAUUCAGCAAUUUGAUUUGACACAGGUUUUGUUGUUUUUAAUUUUCAAUACAUGUGAUUUAGUACCAUAUGAUUGGGUCAAUUGAAUAAAGUAAUAAUUGGUUACAAAAUGGCCAACUGGUUCAGCUGCAAUAAUAUGGAAAUUUGUGGUUUAUUGUUUGGAACUAGAAUUGUAAAUUGUUAUCUAGUAUGCGGCUUCAUGUCACUAUAAGUUACUCAAACUCGUGUAUGCGUGACAUCCAGACUGUACUGAGGCUAUAUCGAAAAUUCUUUCGCCCAUCGUGCAAGUACGUGACAUCCCACAACAAAAAUCAGGGUAUGUACUAUAUAUAUAAUGUGUUUUCAACAUAAUAAUAAGAAUGAUGUUAUAUCGAAACUGUACUGAGGUUAUAUCGAAAAUUCUUUGGCCCAUCGUGCAAGUACGUGACAUCCCGCAACAAAAAUCAGGGUAUGUACUAUAUAUAUAAUGUGUUUUGAACAUAAUAAUAAGAAUGCUGAUUUUUAACAAUUGAUUUAUAUGAAUUUUUUUAGUGGUGAUUGUGGAGCAUUUUUAUUGCGGUACUUGGAGGUCAUAGCCCAUGGACUUGAUGUCAAUUCAUAUUGCCAACAAGAUCAUGUUACACAAUUUCGAAAAGCCUUGGCUGUCAAAUUAUUUGGGCAUAAGUCAUGAAAAAAAAAAUUGUAGUGUACUACCCUUAAAAACUUUGUUGAUGUGUCAUUUUUUGGACCAUGAGAUGUAAUAGUUAUAAUGAGGAUGUUGUUGAUAUUUGAUGUCAUUAAAGAUAACUUGACAUCAUUAAUAUAUUUUAUUUCUUUGUUAAUUAUAUUAAUGAUGGAGCAGAUAGUUUGUAUAAUCUAUGUGAUAUAACAAGAUUGUCAUUUAUGCUCAGGGAAUACUCUGUAAGAAAAUACACAACUGCAGUUGGGUAUUUGCACAGAUACACGACUGCAAUCGAGUAUUUACAAAUAUACAUGACCAGCUCUCUGUAAUAAAAUACAUGACUGCAGUCGAAUAUUUUCACAGAUACACGAUCGCAGUCGAGUAUUUGUAAUUGUACAUGACCAGCUCUCUGUAAGAAAAUACUUGAUUGCAGUCGAGUAUUGCACAGAUACACGACUACAGUCGAGUAUUUGAAAUUAUAGAUGAUCAGAUAUCUGUAAGAAAAUACUCGACUGUAGAGUUUACAAAUUCAUCAUUAACACCCGAAACUAAAUGUGAAUCAAAACCUAACAUGACUAAAUAAUAAUUUUUUUUAUUGGAGGUUACCUAAUAUUUGUGUAAGAUAAUGGUUUGAGAAUCGAUUAGUCCGUAUCCAAAUUGCUAUAUAAUACCAAGAAAAUGAUUGUGGACUAGUUCUUUUUUAAACUUCACAUGUAUCUAUAGACAUCAUAGAGUUGUUUCCCUUAGGCCUUAGGCUACUAUGCACUUAAUAUCCAAAAUAUAAUAUAUUUAUCAAAUAAUUUCAUUCAUCUUUAUAUCAGAGGUUAUGAAUCAUUCCUACCUAAUCACUAGUGUUGUUGAAAUAUAAAAUAAAAAAGUGGCUUCUGUAUUUUCACUCCGUAAUGUUGUAUUUUCAUUGAUCGAGAUUGCAGAGACCAGAGAAUGGCUCUGUUCAAGUGCCAAGAUCAAGCAUAACUUACGAUUUUUGAAUGUCCUGCUGAUGGCUUGGCCCGUCAUAUUUUGCACAGAUUUUCUGCUUAGGAGAAAAGGUUGAAAUGGUGGAGCUAGUCACUUGUCUUAGAUAAAAUGACACAGCAACCAGUCCCAUUUUGGGAUCUAUUAUUUUUUAAUAUUAAAUUUUGGUGGUUUAAAUUAUUACCCACGUGAAAUACUACAUUAGACUCAAUGAAUAUGCGAGGGCCACCUUACAGCUGCUGUAAGGUGUAGCCCUCCGUGAGUCCCACUUGGGCCUGCGGUGGGUACUGUUCACGUGAGAGGGCUGCACCUUACAGCAGCUGUAAGGUAGCAGGCUGCCAAUGAAUAACGUUGAUGACUGAAAUAAAUAUUUCUUUCUCUCUAGUGACUUGGAAUUGGGUUGGUGAGUUUGCAAUGAUAAAUAUUGAAGAUGCCCAUCAGUCCACUAGCAUGAGGCACAAUAUACGUUAGUACAACAUAGCACUAACAUGAGCACAUUUCAGCAAGGCAUGGGGUAUGGUACGACAUGUAUAUUCAUACAUAAGAAUCAAUUGCUCGUGGAUGGUGCAAAAUAGGCUACCGUCCAUAUUCUCAAUGGUUACCGUCCAUAUUCUCAAUGACACAAAAAGUACUUGAUUAUGUUGUGAAAGAUUUUGUAAUUUGUGUUUGGUAAGUAAGAAAGUUAACUUGAAAAUGAAAGAGAGAGAUAAAGAAGAAUAUGUAAUUUAUUAGAAUGAACUCAAUUUAACAAUUAAGAUCUAAGCUCUGUAUUUAUACAUUAUGAAAAUGCAUUCACUAGAGUUUGUUAUAACUUCUACACACGCUUAACAAGUUUGUUAACAAUAAUCUGAGUCAGCUAACUAAUUGUUACACGUCAGCUAGGAGAUCAUCAAGUGUGCUCAUCCUCACAGCUCUAACCAUGCUCUGUAACAUCCCCUUAUAUCCUGGACAUUUUAGCUUGCUGCGAAGUUAAUGAAACUAAUCAAAAGUCAGUGGCUUGGUAAGUAUACUGCAGUUUGAUCUUCACUCGGAACAAAUUGCACAACAAUCUUUUUAGCUGCUACUUUUUCUCUAAUAAAAUGAAUAUCCAAUUCAACAUGUUUAGUUUUAGCAUGAUAAAUUGGAAUAUAAGCCAAUAAUAUAGCACCUUGAUUAUCACACCACAUUAUAGGUGUUGUAACAAGUUUAAUAUUCAAUUCACUAAGUAAAGUUUGAAUCCAAACAACCUCAGAUGUAGCUUAAGCUAAAGCUCUAUACUCAGCUUCAGUAAUGGAUCUUGAAACCACUGGUUGCUUUUUAGAACAUCAGGAAACUAAAUUCGAACCAAGAUACAAAGCAUAUCCAGCAACUGAUUUUCUAUGAUCUUUGUCACAUGCCUAAUCAGAAUCACUAAAAUAGUUCACUUGUAAUGUUACAUAGUGGUAAAAAUGCAAACCAAAGUGAAUGGAACCCUUUAAAUACUGCAAAAGUCUUUUGCAUACUUCCCAAUGUUCUGUUGUUGGUGAAGACAAAAGUUGAUUGAGUUUAUUCACAGAUAAUGCUAUCUCAGGUCUUGUUAGGGUCACAUACUGUAAGGCCCCAAUUAUACAUCUAUACUGAGAUGCAUUAGAAAUAGUUGGACCUGAUCCUUUGCUAAGAUGAUGUCCUGUUGACAUUGGUGUAGGAAUUGGGCUAUAUAUUUUGCUUGAGAAAGAUAAAAUCCAGUAGCUGUCUUUGAAACUCCAAUCCCAAGAAAAUAGUUGAGCUCCCCCAAGUCUUUCAAAGCAAAGGUAGUCUGUAUAUUGUGAAUUACUUGCUACACCAACUGAUAGUUAGAGCCAAUAAUAAUUAUAUCAUCAACACGUACUAAACCAAGUAAAAUAUGACCAUUUUCCCACAUAUAGAAGAGGGAACUAUUAGAUUUUGAGUUUAGAAAACCCCAUUGAACUACCAUAAUAGUUUUAAACUUGUCAAACCAUACUCUUGGAGCUUACUUUAACCUAUAGAUGGUCUUCUUGAGUUUGCAGACAUGAUUGAGCUUUGUAGUAUCAGCAAAUCCUUCAGGUUGUAACAUAUAUACAUCCUCAACCAAAAUGUCAUUUAAAAAAGCAUUAUUUACAUCAACAUGUCUAAGAAUUCAUUUGUUCAUGAUAGCUAAGCUCAAAACUAUUAUAACUGUCGAAGUUUUCGCAAUUGGACUGAAAGUUUUUGUAUAAUCUAUUCCAUGUGUCUGAUGGAAACCUUUGGCCACUAGUCUUGCUUUGUAUCUAAAAAUGGUACCAUCUGAGUUGUGUUUUAUUCUAAAAACCCACUUGCUUCCUAUCACUUUGACAGUGUUGUUGGUAAUACUAAAUCCCAGGUAUGACGGAUUUAAAGAGCUUGAUACUCCUCUUGCAUUGCCUUAAACCAUUUUUGAUCAGAUAUUGCUUGGGAAACAGAUGUAUGUUCUGAAGGUGUGGCUAAAAUAGCAGCAGAUAAGAAUUUGGCUUGUAAAUACUAGCCUUGGAUCUGGUGAUCAUUGGAUGUCCUACUAGUGGUGCAGCGGGUAUUACAUGUGGUGGUGAUUGAGUGUCAUUCAAGGGUUGAAUAUCAUACAAUUAUUGUGUAUGAGAUUCAAUGUCAAAAGAUGAUGAAUAAGGAGAAUGUACCUCUCUAGGAGCUGUUGAUAAAGGCUCUGAGGAAACACAUGCUGGAAGAGGUUGUAGAAGAGGUUGUAGUAUUGGAAAAUGAGUAAAGGAAAGAGUGGAGACAGUAGAAGAAUUUGAGACUGUAUCAGUUGAAGUACAAGAUUGAGUGACAGAAGAAAAAUUUGAACCAGAGACAUAUGUAAAAGAAUAUUCAUCAAAGAUUACAUGAUUGGAGAUAUACACUCGACCAGAAAAAUGAAGACAUUGGUACCUUUUAUGUUGAGAGUUAUAGCUAAUGAAAACACAUCUAUCUGAUCUAAACUCAAGUUUAUGUCUAUUAUAUGGCAUGAGAUAAGGAUAACAGGCACAACAAAAGGUUCUGAGAAAAUUAUAAUUAGGUUUUUGAUGAAAAAGUUUUUGAUAAGGAGAAAUAUUAUUCAAAGUUGAUGUAGGUAACCUAUUGAUGAGAAAAACAAUUGUGUGAAAGGCAUUCCAUCAGAAUUUCAAUGGCAAAUUUGCUUGAGCUAACAAAGUGAGGCCAAUAUCAACAAUAUGCCUAUGUUUUAUUUCUAUUAUACCAUUUUGAUGUGAAUAUGAGGAGAAGGAUGCCUGAAUUGAAUUCCAAACUGAGCAAGAUAGGUAGAAAAACUUUUAAAUUCCCCUCCCCAAUCUGUUUGAAUAGUUUUGAUAUGUUUAUGCAAGUGUUUCUCUAUGAAACUUUUAAAGGUUAUGAACACUUGAAGUGCAUCAGAUUUAGCAGUCAAACGAAAGAUCCAUGUGAACCUGCUAAAAUCAUCUAAAAUUGACAAAUAAUAAGAGUAACCUUGAGUUAAGUAACAUGAGAUAGACCCCAAAGAUCAACAUACAAAAGUUUAGGAGACUCUGUUGUUUGUGUUGGAACAGAAUCAAAGUGUAACAGAUGACUUUUGCCAAAUUGACAAGCAUUACAAAAAUUCAGGUUUUUGGUUUUAUUCAAAGUAAAAUUAGUACAAUCCUUCAAUACAGUUUCAAGAGUAUGAAAAGUAGGAUGUCCUAACCUUUUGUGAAGCAGAUUGAUAUUUACUGUACUUGCAUUAACUAUCAAGGCUAACUUACAUAAGUUAUUAUUGAUAAAGGAAGAACUAUUCAGGACAUCAGAAUCAUUACAAGACAAAGAAGGAAAAUAAGCAAACAUAUACUCAAUUUUGUUGAAAGAAGGUUGACAGAACAAAGUUGAGCUAUCAUCAAAGAGUUGAGAUGUAAUUUGGAUUGGAUACAACACUCUUUUUGCAAUUCUUUUAAGCAAGAUGAUUCAUGAGCUCCUGGCCUUGACAAAACAAAAAUUUUCAAGAAAUCAAUAGUAACAUCAUUGUCAGCUAAGAGUUUUGAAACACUAAGCAAAUUCUUGGUUAUUUGAGGAACAUAAAGAGCAUGAUUUAGCAAUAAAGGUUCAUGUGUGGCUGUGGCCAGCAAUACUGAUCCAAUUUGUUUAAUAUGCAAAGAAGAACCAUUUCCAACAAGCAAUUUUUCACUCCCACUAUAAGCUUUUGGUUCAAGAAGUUUAGCUAAAUCAUUGGUGAUGUGAUUAGUUGCACCACUGUCAAUGUAUUAGGUAAGAUCGUCAACCAUUUCUAGAGAAGGAACUAAAGGAGCUGAAGGAGAACAACCAUUGUAAUCUCUAUUAAAGCUAAAACCAAGUGUAGAAGAACUGGCACCAGAGGAGUUACUAGGAUGAGAAACAUAAAAUUCAGUUGGAUCUGAGUACAUCAUAUAACUUUGAUAUCCAGGACCUCUUGGCGUAUUAGAAUUUCUACAAUUAGGAUGACCAAAAACAUUGCCAAAAUGAGAAUUAAAACCUUUGCCAUAAGCUUCAUUAAAAAAUCUGCCACCUACAUUUCCAAAUCCUCUUCCAAAAUUUCUUUGACCAAGCCUAAAAUUGCCUUUAAAAGCUCCUUUUGCUUGAUUCCUUAAAGGUACAAAAGCAGAAGAGUACCUAUUUUUGCACUCGUGUGCUCCAUGACUAGGUGCAAAAUAGAUUUGGCAAAUGAUAGUUGAAUUAACAUCACCAGACUAUCCCAUACCACUGCCAUUAGCAAAAAUCCCAAAGCCAGUGUUGUAACCUCCUCCAUAAGUUCCAUUAUUAUAUUUUGGAUUACCACCAGCAUGUUUUCCAGAAAUAAAUUGCUUUUGAGCUACAUUAGCCGACAAAUUAUGAGUAAUAUCACUAGCAAUUUUGUCUUUCUUCUGCUCAACUCUAUUUUCAUAACUCAACAGCAAUGAGUAAAAUUCAUUAAGAUUAAUCUUGUCACCUCUAGUUAAGACACAAAUAACCAGAGACUCAUAGUCAGAGGAAUCCAGUCCAGUCAAAACAUAUUGAAUAAAAUCAUUCAAUUCAACAAGUUUUCUAGCCAAAGCUAAGUUAUCAGAUACUCUUUUCAUUUUAGCAAAGUAAUCAAUCAUCAACAUUGAUCCUUUUUUAAGUGUUUGAAUCUGCAUUUUAAGAGGCAUUAUUAUAGCCUGAGAUUGCGAGAUAAACUUACUAGUGAGUGCAUCUAGAAGUUUUUUAGCAUUGGAGAAUUGAAUCACUGUUGCAAGCAAGUUUUGCUGAAUAGAUGACAUCAUCCAGCUCAGAAUCAACUAAUUAGUCUUCAUCCAAGCUUUAUAUUCUGGAUUAAUCUCUCGAUCCUUUGUUCUUGUUAAAUCAGUAGCUCCAGUGCUAGCUGAUGAGAGAAAUUGCUCUGGACAAGCUCGAUCACUAAUGAUGAAACUUUCUAAGUUGUUUUCUUUGAUUGACGUUAAGAUCUUAGUUCGCCAAACAAUGUAAUUAUUCUGAUCCAGUUUAAUAAGAGUAACAAAACAAUAAGAUCCUAAGAUUUCAUUAGAGCUCAUCAUUGUUUGCUCUGAUACCGUGAAAGAUUUUGUAAUUUGUGUCUUUGGUCAGUAAGAAAGUUAACGAGAAAAUGAAAGAGAGAGAUAAAGAAGAAUCUGGAAUUUAUUAGAAUGAAGUCAACUUAACAAUUAUGAUCUAAGCUCUGUAUUUAUACAUCAUGAAAACGCAUUCACUAGAGUUUAUUAUAACUUCUACACACGCCUAACAAGUUUGUUAACAAUAAGCUGAAUCAGCUAACUAAUUGUUACACGUUAGCUAGGAGAUCAUCGAGUGUGCUCAUCCUCACAGCUCUAACCAUGCUCUGUAACAUGUUGAGCGUUGGGGAGACUGGAAUGGAGUCUGAGGCAGCUUCUAGAAAUCGUCUGUCAAGUCUUCUCCAACGACCAAAAUUGGGUAAUUUUCUCACACCUUUUUAUAAACUAUAUUUUAGUUUUAGACUUUGCUUCACGAAACUAAAGUGGCCACUUGUAUUUGGGGAAAAUGACAGUAGUAUUCCUGUGAAUUGACAAAAUGAUUCCGGAAAUCUCAUUAUUUUUUUUGAAAUGAUCGCAUAAAAUCUUUAGGAUUAUCCUUUGGUAACAGUGACCAAAUUUUGUUUCAUUUAGGCUUAAAAGAAAAAAAACCUGAAAGGUCAUUUACGAAAACAAUUGGUCAUGAUGACCGAGUAGUCAAACCACAGGAGUUAUCUCACUGUGGCCAUAUUUAUUCAAACAAUAAUCACGGGCUGCGACAACCUCUUCUUGACAUGAGAAAUGCAACCAACCAGAUCAGGACCAUGACUACAAGAUUUCUAUUGUACAUGACCAUUGAUGCGACUCUUCAAAAAUCAGCAAAGAAUGAAAUAAAUCCUAAAUUCUUCUUAAUCUCUUCUUCGACCUCUGCAAACUUGAACGCCAACAAAUCUUUUCAUAAAUCAAAAAUUCUAAACCAAAUUCUGUUAGCAUCAUAUACCACUCCCAGGCUUCAAUGUUUCCAAAUUUUCCAUCACUUCUCAUUGUUCUCAUAGCUUUUUUCUUCUGCUUUCAAACUUCAGAAAGCCAAAACCUCUUGCUUAGGGGCUCUUCUCUAUCUGUUGAAGAUAAUACAGGCGUGUUGACUUCCCCAGACAAAACAUUCAGUUGUGGCUUCUAUGGCCUGGGUGGAAAUGCUUAUUUGUUCUCAAUCUGGUUCACGCACUCUAGAGACAGAACUGUUGUUUGGACAGCUAACCGUGACAGACCAGUCAACGGCCAGGGCUCCAGAGCUUCUCUGCGGAGAAAUGGCGCCAUGGUCUUAACUGAUGUUGAUGGCAGAGUCAUUUGGAUGACUAACACAACCUCUACUGGUGCUGAUCGAGCAGAGCUUCUGGAUACUGGAAAUCUUGUUCUCAAGGAC
rnacentral:lncRNA from 1 species